AACAAGCAAGUUUCCGUAUCCAACUUUUUAUCAUCCGUCUUAUUUGAAUUUUUUUUAUGAUUAGUAUUUUUUAUUGUUAUUAGAUUAUAAAACAUGAAGAAUACUUUAUGUGUGACUUAUGUUUUUAGUUUUCUUAAAAUAAUUUCAAAUAAGAUGAACGAUUAAAGUUGGGCACGGAAACUUAUGGCUGCGUUUAUU
rfam:Oryza glumipatula chromosome 10, whole genome shotgun sequence.